rnacentral:rRNA from 1 species
AUUGAACGCUGGCGGAAUGCUUUACACAUGCAAGUCGAACGGCAGCACGGGAGCUUGCUCCUGGUGGCGAGUGGCGAACGGGUGGGUAACAUAUCGGAACGUACCCAGUCGUGGGGGAUAACUAUCCGAAAGGAUAGCUAAUACCGCAUACGUCCUGAGGGAGACAGCGGGGGAUCGCAAGACCUCGCGCGAUUGGAGCGGCCGAUAUCGGAUUAGCUAGUUGGUGGGGUAAAGGCUCACCAAGGCGACGAUCCGUAGCGGGUCUGAGAGGACGACCCGCCACACUGGAACUGAGACACGGUCCAGACUCCUACGGGAGGCAGCAGUGGGGAAUUUUGGACAAUGGGGGCAACCCUGAUCCAGCCAGUCCGCGUGAGUGAAGAAGGCCUUCGGGUUGUAAAGCUCUUUCAGCAGGAACGAAACGGUCGGCUUUAAUAAAGUCGGCUAAUGACGGUACCUGCAGAAGAAGCACCGGCUAACUACGUG